rnacentral:rRNA from 1 species
ACAUGAGAGCUUGCUCUUGAUGACGAGUGGCGCACGGGUGCGUAACACGUAUGCAACCUACCCUUAACAGGGGAUAGCCCGGAGAAAUCCGGAUUAAUACCCCAUAGUAUCUUCAUUUCGCAUGUUAUGAAGAUUAAAGCUUCGGUGGUUAAGGAUGGGCAUGCGGAACAUUAGUUUGUUGGUGAGGUAACGGCUCACCAAGACUACGAUGUUUAGGGGUUCUGAGAGGAUGAUCCCCCACACUGGUACUGAGAUACGGACCAGACUCCUACGGGAGGCAGCAGUGAGGAAUAUUGGACAAUGGGCGCAAGCCUGAUCCAGCCAUGCCGCGUGCAGGAAGAAGGCCUUCUGGGUUGUAAACUGCUUUUAUAUAAGAAGAAAAAGUCCCUGCGGGGAAAACUGACGGUACUAUAUGAAUAAGCACCGGCUAACUCCGUGCCAGCAGCCGCGGUAAUACGGAGGGUGCAAGCGUUGUCCGGAUUCACUGGGUUUAAAGGGUGCGUAGGCGGAUUAAUAAGUCAGUGGUGAAAUCCUACAGCUUAACUGUAGAACUGCCAUUGAUACUGUUCGUCUUGAGUCCAGUCGAGGUGGAUGGAAUUUAUGAUGUAGCGGUGAAAUGCAUAGAUAUCAUAAAGAACACCAAUUGCGUAGGCAGUUCACUAGACUGGUACUGACGCUGAGGCACGAAAGCGUGGGGAGCGAACAGGAUUAGAUACCCUGGUAGUCCACGCUGUAAACGAUGAAUACUCGCUGUUGGCGAUAUACAGUCAGCGGCCAAGCGAAAGCGUUAAGUAUUCCAC